AUUCAUAAUAUUUUAGCCAAAAUCAAAGGAAGCAGGAUAUAGGAAACGGCCGCAUCAAAGAACGCGCUGGAAGGAAGAAAAAGAGAACGUGUGGCUCACAUCUGCCCACGUAGUAAAUAUAAACCGGCUGGGCAUCCUGCACCAAUGACAAGGCGCAGCACCAGUGGCUACUGCCUAUUUCUUGGCUCUGAUUUGAUCUCUUGGUCAUCAUCCAAACAAAAAGUGGUAUCCCUAUCCGGAACCAAAUCAGAGUAACGUUGGGUAGUAAGUGGGGCCACUGAAUCCCACUCGACGUCGUCUCAUUCUCUGUAUCGAUAUCAAAGCCACGUACUUAGCUGCCAAUCCUAUUUUGCAUGACCGAACCAAACACGUGGAAAUUGACUACCACUUUGUCCAGGAAUGUUUCUUCUUUGACGCUCUCACCGUGUCCAAUUCACACCUGUACAGUUGGUUAGGAUUUCUAUUUUCUGCUUGUAUGUAGUAACUGCUCUGUUAUUGUAGAAUACACUGAUGAAGGUAUUAGAAUACAUGAGUUUCUUUGUGGAUGGCUGCCAUGU